CAGCCGCCGCGGUAACACGGAGGGUGCAAGCGUUAAUCGGAAUUACUGGGCGUAAAGCGUGCGUAGGCGGUUCGUUAAGUCUGUUGUGAAAGCCCCGGGCUCAACCUGGGAAUGGCAAUGGAUACUGGCGAGCUAGAGUGUGUCAGAGGAUGGUGGAAUUCCCGGUGUAGCGGUGAAAUGCGUAGAGAUCGGGAGGAACAUCAGUGGCGAAGGCGGCCAUCUGGGACAACACUGACGCUGAGGCACGAAAGCGUGGGGAGCAAACAGGAUUAGAUACCCCAGUAGUCCCUGUCUCUUAUAA
rnacentral:rRNA from 1 species